AAUACAUGGAGUAUGGUACAGUAUAAAGAGUACUUUGUAAUAGGCCAUGACAGUCUCUGAUACAUAUACAGUCAUAAGGUUUUUACUGUUGCAAGGAACAGCUGAAUAAAAGUAAUAAAGUUUCAGAAAUAUACAGGAUAUACCUCAGACACAUGAACUCCUGAUCUCUAAAGACAGUUCAUAUAACAGGAAAAUCAAGGGUCUCAAGUUAUCCACUAGUGCAAGUAAGCAGGUAAAUUUCUGUAUCUGUUUCUCUUUUGUACAAUAUACCAAGGUGGAGCUUUUCCUGAGAUGAUGUAUUGAUUUCCCUAAAUUUCACAUGACUCCUCUGAACAGGUACUUAGCAAUGAACUGAAAUGAAUAACAAGUAUGAUAAUAAUGCUUGUAUAUUAAAAAUAAAAUAACACUAUAAACAACUGUUUAAUUGUUGAUUGAGUUUUGCCAUUAAUGGUUACAUGCUACAGGUAUUGCUGCUUGACAAAUUCUUCAUUUUGGGAUAUAGAUAUCUGUGUCUGUUAAUUACAUUUCGAUUUUUCACAGACCCAUUAGUGGUACGGUGCGGACAUUUGGUGCUACAGCAGUUCUCAAUGUGGCUGACCUAAAAAUUUCAAAAUAUCCGAGAUCCAUAAUCUCUGUCACAAGCUGAGGCUUGAAUAUUGUAACUUCUUUUCAGAAGAAACUGCCCAGCAUGACUGAGGCAAAGAUUACCCUUCAAAAUCUGAUAGCUGAAUUUCACAUGUGUUGUCAGUGCCUGUACAUGAACUAUGAACCAAGCCUUAAGAGCAUGGAGGCUAUGAAACAAACAAUCAGUUCAAUAGCAGCUUUCCAAUUGCUCUGCCUCCUGUCCGUUACAGAAGCACUGUUCUUUUAUUUUACACCAUUCAGUCGGGCUUUGGUUAUACCCAGGACCAGAUUAGUCCUGGAAUAUAACCAGCAGCCUGACUGAUCAGAUCUCUCCGUGCAGACAAAUUUAUAUGCUUUCCUUACCUCUGAUUGCUGGAAAUUCUGUAUUCAAAUAGAGAAUGGAAUUUGAUCCAAUCAGUAGAGAGAUUCAUACGUAGGCAUGGGCAUCCUAGGUUACUGUUACCUUGGAGAUCUCCAUCCGUGCUGGUGAUUCAUACCGCACUCCCCCCUCCGUGACUUCCGGAAAUGAAGAAGAACCGACAGUGGAUGGCAGAAAAAAAUAUUUUUACCUUUUGUCUACAUUAUCCAUAAAGAAAAAGCAAGUCAGUGGAAUGCUGCCAAUGUAUUUAUUUCUAGAAGACACUGUCCAGGAUCACUGAGGCAAAGAUUACUUUCAAAAUCUGAUACCUGAAUUUCACAUAUGGUGACAUUCACUGUACAGGAACUUUGAGGCAAGGAAUGAGAACACGGAAACUCUGAAACAAACUGUCAAUUUCUUUGCAACUUUCUACAUGCUGUGUUUCUGGUCAGUUACAAAGCACUCUUCCUUUUAUUUUACAACAUACAGAGAAGCUUUGGUUAUACACAGGAUGGCAUGAGUCCUGGAAUAUAACCAGUAGCCUGAGUAAUCAGGUCUGUACCUGAGGAUGAAUUUAUUUGCUUUCCUUGCAUCUGAUUGCUGGAGAUCCUGAAUUAAAAUUGAGAAUGGAAUUAGAUCCAGUUAGCAGAGAGAUGUCCUAUGUAGGCUGCUAUUUCCUUGGAGAUCUCCAUCAUAGCAGCUGAUUCAUAUUACACAUAAAAUAAUCGCCAGUGGAUGCCAGAAAAAUGUGUUUACCUUCUCUCUCCAUUAAGCCACAGAAUAACAAGUCAGUGGAACACUGGAAAUGUAUUUAUUCCUGGAUCCUGGAGCCUUGAUUCAAGUACUUUUCGAGAGCUGCUAUAGGUCUUUCUUAGCCUGCUGACUGUCACAUAUUUCUGACAAUAUUUUCUUUUUCUUAACUAAUGGUAUUGUGUAUGCAUCUCCUUCUCCAAUUGUUUUUGUCUUAUGCUCUGAUUAUACCCAUUUCUAGUACAAUAAUAUUUAAUAGUUUAUCCUCAAGCAUGUUUUGGUAUAUUAAGUGCAAUCUAAAUACCCUUUUCCACCUGUACUCAGUUGACAUGGUUGUCUGCAAUGUCUAGUCGUGUGCACAAUAUUAAGGAGAAUUCAAUAUUGUAGGUGAUGUUUGUACAUUUUUGAUGUCCACAACAAUACAUGGAGAGUCAGGUAAUAUAAAAUGUAUCUCUAAAUAGACCAUGAGAAUCUGUAAAGCAUAUACUCAUGCAAGGUCUUUCCUACUGCCAAGAAUAGAUGAAUCAAAGAAAGACAAAUUCAUAAAUAUCCAUUUUAUGCCACGCAAACCAGAUCUCUGGAUCUAUAAGGACAGCAAAAAUUAUAAGAAAAUUAUAGGUCUCUAGUUAUCCACUAGUUCAUGCUCACAAUAUAAAUUACUAUGCCUUUUUCUCAUUUAUACAGUAUGUAAUACCUAGCUGGAGAUCUUCCUGAGAUGAUUCAUAACUUUCCCCAAAGUGCAUAUGUCACCUCUUAACAGGUACUUAGCAAUGAUCUGAAAUGGAAACACAAGUGUGCUAAAGGUCCUAGUAAAUUAAAAAUAAAAUAAUACUAUAAACAACCAUUGAUUUGACUUUGUUUUGACAUUAAUGGCAACAUACAGCUCACAUUACUCCCCCAGGAUUCAUUUAUUUUUGGAAGGUUUUAUGGUUAUCUGUUUCUUUUAAUUACAUCUUGCAUUUUCAGAGACGCCAUGAUGGUGUGGUGAAGACAUUUGAUGCCACAGCAGUUCUCAUAGUGGUGGAUUUAAAGAUUUCAAAACAUCAGACAUUCCAUAGUCACUGGCACAAGCAGACGAUUGAAUAUUAUAUGGUCUUUGCAGAAGACACUCCCCAGAAUGACUGAGGCAAAGAUACCGUUCAAAAUCUGAUACCAGAAUUUCACAUGAGAUGACAAUUCCUGUUCAGGAACUUGAGCCAAGGAAUCAGAGAACAGAACUCUGAAACAGACAAUCAUUUUCUUUGCAACUUUCCACUUUUUCUCUCUCCUGGCAGUUAUAGACCCAUUCUUCCUUUUAUUUCACACCAUUGAGUCGGACUUUGGUUAUACCUAGAACUGGACAAUUCCUGGAAUAUAACCAUCAAUUCUGAAUCUGCAGAUGAAUUUAUUUCUUUCCUCGCAACUUAUUGCUGGUGAAUCUGCAUUCAUAUAAAGAAUGGAAUUAGAUCCAAUUAGAAGAGAGCACAGGAAUGUGAGUCUGCUGUAGCCUUGGAGAUCUCCAUAUGUGCUGGGUAAUUCAUACCACACUUGCCCCUCCCUGUCGUCCUGGAAUAGAAUAUUUGAUAGUGGAUGGUAGAAAAAAUGUUUUAAUUUCAGUCUCCAUUAACAGAAAAACAAGUCAGUGGAACACUGGCAAUGAAUUUAUUUCUGGAUCCUGCUGCCUCGAUCAAAGCAAUUUGUCAGAGCUGCACUAUUUCUUUUUUAAACCACUGAGUGUGACAUUUUUCUGGCAAUUUUUGCUUUUUGCUAAUUAGUUGUGUUAUACCUGCAUCUCCCUGUCCAAUUGCUUUUGUAAUAAGCUCUGAGUAUAGCCUUUCCUAGUACAAUAAUAUUUUAACCUCAAACAUGUUUUAGAAUGCUAAGGGCAAUAAUAUAUUCAUAAACUUCUCCACCUGUAUUCAGUUUGUUGUGAGUUUCUAAUUUCACCUUCUUGUACACAAUAUUAAGGAGAAUUCAAUGUUGAAAAUGAUGUUUGUAUGCUGUGGGUAUCUUGAACAGUUCAUGGUGUAUGGGAUAAUAUAAAAUAUAUUUGUAAAUAGAAAUGAGAGUUUGUGAUGCAUGUACUGAUGUAAUGUGCUUACUACUGACAGGAAUAGCUGAAUAAAAGUAAUACUCUUUCAUUAAUAUACAGGAUAAGCCACAGAGUCCUGAUCUACGGCUAUAUUAAAAUAGUGCAAAUUACAGGAACACUAUAGCUCUCUGUGUCUCCUCUAUUGCAAGGUCAUGAUAUAAACUACUGUGUCUUUUUCUCUUUUAUACAGUAUGUAAUACCAAGGUGGAGAUCUUCCUGAGAUGAUGUAUUCAUAUCCCCCAAGUGCACACAACUCCUCUGAACAGACAACACUACAAAGCAUGACUGAGGCAGAGAUUUCCCUUAAAUACCUGAUACCUGAGUUCGACAUAUGGUGACAGUCCCUGUACCAGAACUAUGAGCCACCGAUUCAGAGCAUGGAUACUAUGAAAUAAAUAAUCAGUUUCUUUGCAGAUUUCCAAUUGCUCUCUCUCCUGUCAUUUACAGAAGCAUCCUUCCUUUUAUUUAACACUGUGCCGUCAGGGUUUGGUUAUUUCCAGGGUCACACAAGUCCUGGAAUAGAACCUGUAGCCUGAUUGAUAAUCCUGUCCCUGCAGACAAAUUUAUUUGCUUUAGCUGGGUCUGAUUGGUGGAUAUUUUUCAUUCAAAUAGAGAAGGGAAUCAGUUCCAAAUACAAGAAAGUAUCUGGACAUGGUCAUGUAUGGCUAUGGUAAACAUGGGCAUCUCUAAGUAUGCUGCUAAUUCACACUACUCGCCAACCUCUUCGCUUCCCAGAUUAAAGUAGAAGGUACGUUAUUGGAUUGCAGAAAAAAAAAUUGUUUCUACCUUCCCCUUGUAUUACUCCACAAAAGAAAAGUCAGUGGAACUCCAGAAUGUAUUUAUUUCUGAAUCCUACUACCUCGAUUCAAGAAAUUUAUCAGAGCUGCUGUAUUUCUUUUCAAACUUACAGACUGUGAUAUUAUUCUGACAAAUGUUGCUUCCCUCUAACUGUGUUGUAUCUACAUCUCUGUCCCCAAAUGCUAUUGGUGUAUGCUCUGUGUAUACCCUUUCCUAGAAAAAUAAUAUUUAAAUAAUCUA
rnacentral:sRNA from 1 species